AAGACUAACAGGAAGACUAAGAUUGGGGCUCCUGGAAUCCAACUCACCAAAGUUUGGGAAGAAAUAAGGAAAAACAGGUUUAGCAUGAGGACUUCAUCACUCAGUAUUCCGUCUGGUGAUUUUUUAUUUGUUGUGUAGAUUUAUGUCUUUAGCUCUGCUUUGUUGGGGUCAGGUAAGGUGUCGGUUUUAUAUUUAAUAUCAUUGUAGUAUGUUUAAUAGACAAGGAAUGAUGAGUAUAAAUUGACGUCAACUUCUGAGGGUGAAAUCAAAAAGUCAAAUCAAAUCUGGUGCAAACUUCCUAUACAAUUACACGUAUACAUUACAUUAGUGUGGUCUGAAAUUACAACCACCAAGAAUUGUCUAAAAGAUUUCUAAAGCAAUACUCCCAGAAUUAUUUCAUUAUUUUAUCAUAGGUGUUUUGUAUGACAUAAUAUGAUACUGUAUUUGUGCUAGGAAUUUUACCUACACUUUAUCAAGUUUACAUCCUCCUUGCAGAAUCUUUGGGAUGUUUUGCAUGUUUUAAAAAUAAGAGAGACCAUAAUUAAAAAAAUAAUCCAUAUUUUUAAUUGUGUAUAUAAAAAAAUGUAUACAAUUGUUUAAAACAUUCUUUAGUACUGCUCUCAGUUGUCCUGGCACGCACAUGGGAGGAAUUGAAAAAUAUACAGUAUAAUUUUUUUUCUCAAGAUGCAUAAGGAGAAAGGUGACAGUUACUUUGAAUUAAUUCAGUACACUCACUGAGCACUUUAUAAGGAACACCAGUACACCUACUUAUUCAUGUGAUUAUCUAAUCAGCCACUGUGGUAGCAGUGCAAUGCAUAAAAUCAAGCAGAUAUGGGUCAUGAGCUUCAGUUCACAUCAACCAUCUGAAGGGGGAAAAACUGUGAUCUCAAUGAUUUGGAGUGUGGCAUGAUUGUUGGUGCCAGACGGGCUGGUUUGAGUAUUUCUGCAACUGCUGAUCUCCUGGGAUUUUCACACACAACAGUCUCUAGAGUGUAUAUGGUGCCACAAAACAUAUCCAGUGAGUGGCAGUUCUGUGAACGGAAACGCCUUGUUGAUGAGAGAGGUCAGCAGAGAAUGGCCAGACUGGUUCAAACUGACAAAGUCUACGGUAACUCAGAUAACAACUCUGUACAAUUGUGGUGAGAAGAAUAUCAUCUCUGAAUGCACAACAGGUCGAACCUUGAGGCGGAUGGGCUACAACAGCAGAAGACCACGUCGGGCACUUUAUUAGGACCAUAGUGUUUCUAAUAAAGUGCUAACUGGUGGUGCAGGUUGUGUCUCUGCUUGACUAAUGGAAUCGUGGAUGCAGAGAUGCGAUCAAUCCAUGGUGGGGGGAUCUGCUGGUAUGGAUCCUACAGAAACAUGAAAAGAAGAGGAAAGUAAGUUGCUCAGCACAUAAUAUACUUUUAGUCUAUUAACUUUCUGUAACAGACAAUGACAAUAUUGAACUCACCAAUGUCUCCAACCUUAAUGUGAGCCAUUGUAUAAGUGUUACCCCUGGGAUGCCCACUGCUCUUUUCCAUCUGCAGCUGUUCUUUUAUUAUUACAUCUUGCCAAUCCAUUCAACAAAUAAGCCAGGUAGAUGUAGCACUGAUCAGCGUAAUUUAAAUUAUUACACAUUUUUGAAUAAUACUUUCAGUCACAUUCAUUCAGAACCAGGGGCGGAGCUAGGGGGUGGCCAGGGGUGGCCAUGAUGAUGUGCCACCACAGCCUGAUCGCUGGACCCUGCCCGGCCACCCCUGUGAAAAACUCCUGGCUCUGCCACUGUUCAGAACUAAUUUAUUUUUUCUGAUUAACAGGCCAGUAGAAUCACCUGGAAUCAACACUGUAAUCCAAUAUACAGGAUUUGGAGGGACCACAUAUAAGUCCACAGCAGAAUUCCAUAACUCCAUAAGUGAUGAAAGAAGAGGGACCAGCAACUCCUGCAAUACUGCAAAUGGCUCAUUUCUGUCUGGGUUUUGUUAUGACGGCUUCAGUGGGCCUUUGAAAGCCUGAGCUGAUCAGAAAAUGCAAUGCAUGUAUGUUUUGGAUGUCAGUAGGACGUUCAGCAGAUGUCUUUGAGACGUUUAUGAUUUAGAAUGUUUGUAAAUCUGAUCUUUUUAAGAUGUUUAUCAGAUGUUAAUUACAUUGUGAUGCUUUCCAGAUGAAAAGAUCUAAAACAGACAUCUCGGAGAUGUAUGUGUGCUAUCUGGGAUAGUACAAGACAAGUACAACAACUUCAAUUACAUCCAUAUUCUUGUAUAAUUAUUAUACAUGCCUUUUGUAUCACCUGAUAUUUAUUAAUAAAGUUUGU